rnacentral:rRNA from 1 species
GUGCUGAAGCAACAAAUGCCCUGCUUCCAGGAAAAGCCUCUAAGCAUCAGGUAACAUCAAAUCGUACCCCAAACCGACACAGGUGGUCAGGUAGAGAAUACCAAGGCGCUUGAGAGAACUCGGGUGAAGGAACUAGGCAAAAUGGUGCCGUAACUUCGGGAGAAGGCACGCUGAUAUGUAGGUGAAGCGACUUGCUCGUGGAGCUGAAAUCAGUCGAAGAUACCAGCUGGCUGCAACUGUUUAUUAAAAACACAGCACUGUGCAAACACGAAAGUGGACGUAUACGGUGUGACGCCUGCCCGGUGCCGGAAGGUUAAUUGAUGGGGUUAGCGGUAACGCGAAGCUCUUGAUCGAAGCCCCGGUAAACGGCGGCCGUAACUAUAACGGUCCUAAGGUAGCGAAAUUCCUUGUCGGGUAAGUUCCGACCUGCACGAAUGGCGUAAUGAUGGCCAGGCUGUCUCCACCCGAGACUCAGUGAAAUUGAACUCGCUGUGAAGAUGCAGUGUACCCGCGGCAAGACGGAAAGACCCCGUGAACCUUUACUAUAGCUUGACACUGAACAUUGAGCCUUGAUGUGUAGGAUAGGUGGGAGGCUUUGAAGUGUGGACGCCAGUCUGCAUGGAGCCGACCUUGAAAUACCACCCUUUAAUGUUUGAUGUUCUAACGUUGGCCCCUGAUCGGGGUUGCGGACAGUGUCUGGUGGGUAGUUUGACUGGGGCGGUCUCCUCCUAAAGAGUAACGGAGGAGCACGAAGGUUGGCUAAUCCUGGUCGGACAUCAGGAGGUUAGUGCAAUGGCAUAAGCCAGCUUGACUGCGAGCGUGACGGCGCGAGCAGGUGCGAAAGCAGGUCAUAGUGAUCCGGUGGUUCUGAAUGGAAGGGCCAUCGCUCAACGGAUAAAAGGUACUCCGGGGAUAACAGGCUGAUACCGCCCAAGAGUUCAUAUCGACGGCGGUGUUUGGCACCUCGAUGUCGGCUCAUCACAUCCUGGGGCUGAAGUAGGUCCCAAGGGUAUGGCUGUUCGCCAUUUAAAGUGGUACGCGAGCUGGGUUUAGAACGUCGUGAGACAGUUCGGUCCCUAUCUGCCGUGGGCGCUGGAGAACUGAGGGGGGCUGCUCCUAGUACGAGAGGACCGGAGUGGACGCAUCACUGGUGUUCGGGUUGUCAUGCCAAUGGCACUGCCCGGUAGCUAAAUGCGGAAGAGAUAAGUGCUGAAAGCAUCUAAGCACGAAACUUGCCCCGAGAUGAGUUCUCCCUGAGACUUUAAGUCUCCUGAAGGAACGUUGAAGACGACGACGUUGAUAGGCCGGGUGUGUAAGCGCAGCGAUGCGUUGAGCUAACCGGUACUAAUGAACCGUGAGGCUUAACCUU